UAUUACUUUGGCAGAUUAGUGUGGUAAAUUUAGAAUUUAUUUAUGUAAAUUUUUUACAGGUAAUA
rnacentral:tRNA from 1 species